ACCAUGAAAGUGAAAAAAAUUUAGUUUUAAUUUUGGGACUUUAGUAGAAAUUGUAGAAACUUUUAGAAAAGUAAAAUUUUGGAAGGUUAAAAAAUUUUAAAAAGAGUUGGAAAAAUUCUAAAGUGAGACUAGGAUUAGAUACCCUAUUAUUAUUGAGAAAAAGUAAAUUAGGUAGUAGUGGAAGGCUUGAAACUUAAAGAAUUUGGCGGUGUCUUAAUCUUAUCAGAGGAACUUGUAUUUUAAUUCGAAAUUACUCGUUUAAUUUUACUUAGAUUUUUGUUUGUAUAUCGUCGUAAAAAUAAAACUUUAAAGUGUAUAUUUUGGAAAGAUUUUCUUAAAAUUACAGAUCAAGGUUCAGCAAUAUUUAAGCAUAAUAUGAGUUACAAUAUAAUAAUUUAUAUAUUUACGGAGGGAAGGAUGAA
rnacentral:rRNA from 1 species